CCACCUCCAGCGCCCGAGCCGUCCAGGCGGCCAGCAGGAGCAGUGACAAACCGGGCAGCAUCGCGACCCUGCGCGGGGCACCGAGUGCGCUGCUGUGCGAGUGGGAUCCGCCGCGCCCUUGCUCUGCCCGCGCCGCCACCGCCGCCGUCUCCCGGGGCCCCCGCGCACGCUGCUCCGGGUGCUCUCGCCUACCGCUGCCGAGGAAACUGACGGAGCUGGAGCGCGGCGGCGGGGCUCAGAGCCAGGCGAGUCAGCUGAUCCGGCCCACCCCGCUCGGCACCCGAGAGAGACCCCUAGCGGCGCCGCCGGGGAACUGCGCCCGCUCGCGCCGGGAGGGGCCCUCGCGCCCCGCGCCCACAGGUGCAGCGCCCUUGGCGCCGCCUGCACCCCACGCGCCGCCUCUGCUCCCCGGCCGACGGCCCACCUGGGCUUCGUGAACAGUGGGAGGGAGAGUCUGGGGCCAGGAGAGGGACGGUGCAGGAUCAGGGAAAGUCCAGAAAAGUCUAAGAUCAAGAUGCAGAUAGGAUUGGAAUCCUCAGAGGUCUCCUUGGCUUGCAGAUGGCUGCACCCUUGCUAAGUCCUCACACGUUCUUUCCUCUGCACAGACCGUGUGCUAACUCCUCAUCAAAGACCAGAAGUAGAUCCUGAAUUGUAUUCAUUCUCAUCUCUUUCUACCUUCUCCAAGACAGAAGGACAUGAUUAACUUCUUUAUCUCAAUGUCAGCCUUCAAUAUCUACAAAAGUCUAAACUGUAAAUAGCAUUGAAGCUUUGCAUAAUAAAAUUCUUUUCCCCAAGAUCUGCUGAGCAGGCCUGAGCUGAGAAAUGAGGGAAGGCAGACAUAUGUAUGAGCAUCUAUGCAGAGAGUGAAGUUACUCACUCUGGGGGAGAAAGGACGAUGGGAAAAUGAGGAACCACUUGCCAUGUAAGUGGUAGCAAAGCUGGAUUUGAUUUAUUAGACCUGAUGCUAGGAUUCCAGAUUAUUUAUUAUGUCAACUUGACUGGAUUAAUGGAUACCUACAUAACUGGUAAGACAUUCUGUCUGGGUGUGUCACACCAAUCUCUUAGAUGGACUAAACCGGGAAGAUCCACCCUCAACACAGGUGAGCACCAUCCAAUCGGCUGGGGGCCCACAUAGAACAAAAAGGCAGCAAGAUAUUGUUAUAUUUUUAAAGUUACCCUAGUAGUGCUAAUACGUAGCUAGAUUGGGAAUCCCUGAGUUGAUGUAACUAGAGGUAAAUAUUUUCACAAAGGGGUCUGAAGCUGCUUAAGAGCUUUGUCUCAAUAGAAAUUGGGUUAGGAAGCCUAGGACAGAGUCCAAAGGAAAGAAAUAUCAGCUAGAUUCAGAUAUGUGGAACUGGAAAAGAAGAAUAUUUUAGCAUCAAUCUCUCAAGAAAAAAAGAGGUAUCUGCCUGGAAACCCUGUUGCCUGGAGACCACUCUUGAAGAACAUCCACUGCUGUGGCCUCUUAAAGAUUUAAGAC
rnacentral:lncRNA from 1 species